CAAGGAGUAGUUUAAAAAGAAUGCCAGCUUUGGGUGUUGGUGGUGGAGCAUUAGUUUCUUCCUUGA
rnacentral:tRNA from 1 species